GGUUGAGUAGUGUAGCGGCCUAUCACGUUUCGUUUACAUUUCCAGCAAUGGAUGUAAGUCCCGAAAAGGUCCCGAGUUCGAUCCUCGGCUCGAUCA